AAUUUCAUAGCAGUUCAUCCAUUUUCCCCACUUAAUUCUCAAUUUAUUCCAAAAUACCUUCCCCGCUUUAGUUAUCCCACUUUCUCAAAAUCCCUAACCCUAAACUCACUCCUAAUCCCGCUUCAUCAAAAUCCCUCUCCACCGCACCAUCAGAUGAACCAGCCCCAAAAUUUCAUAGCAGUUCAACCCAAGGGAACUUUCUAUGGAUAAAUUUGCAAUCAGUUGAACUUUAAUUUGCACUCUUUUGUUCAACACUAUUGCAAUUUGAAGUUAUGCCACUUUGAAGGUCCUUAUGUUCAUGGAUGGGAACUUGCUAUCUGGGAGUGCUGGAGUGGUCAUGGUUCCUGGCUCUUGGAUACAAGUUUAAUGACUAUUGCACACUUGUUUUGGAACACUUGAAAUAACGAUUUACAUUAUGCUUCCGCUGAACAGAUUGUUUUAUUGUGUUUGGAUUUACUUUAUGAAAUAAAUGGAAUCUUUUAUUUAAUACUA